rnacentral:rRNA from 1 species
AGUGGCGGACGGGUGAGUAACGCGUGAGAAUCUGCCUUGGGGUCGGGGACAACCACUGGAAACGGUGGCUAAUACCGGAUAAGCCGAUUGGUGAAAGAUUUAUUGCCCGAAGAGGAGCUCGCGUCUGAUUAGCUAGUUGGUGAGGUAAGAGCUCACCAAGGCAGCGAUCAGUAGCUGGUCUGAGAGGACGAUCAGCCACACUGGGACUGAGACACGGCCCAGACUCCUACGGGAGGCAGCAGUGGGGAAUUUUCCGCAAUGGGCGAAAGCCUGACGGAGCAAGACCGCGUGAGGGAGGAAGGCUCUUGGGUUGUAAACCUCUUUUCUCAGGGAAGAAGCUCUGACGGUACCUGAGGAAUCAGCCUCGGCUAACUCCGUGCCAGCAGCCGCGGUAAUACGGAGGAGGCAAGCGUUAUCCGGAAUUAUUGGGCGUAAAGCGUCCGCAGGUGGCGAUUCAAGUCUGCUGUCAAAGCACGGGGCUUAACUCCGUAAAGGCAGUGGAGACUGAAUAGCUAGAGUGCCGUAGGGGUAGAGGGAAUUCCCGGUGUAGCGGUGAAAUGCGUAGAGAUCGGGAAGAACAUCGGUGGCGAAAGCGCUCUACUGGACGGCAACUGACACUCAGGGACGAAAGCUAGGGGAGCGAAUGGGAUUAGAUACCCC